rnacentral:rRNA from 1 species
UUUCUAGUGAACCCUAAUACUAGAUAAGCCCUGCCCAACGUAAUUAAGUGGCCGCGGUACAAUAACCGUGCUAAGGUAGCAUAAUCAAUUGUUUAUUAAUUGUAAAAUUGAAUGAAAGGGUAAACAAAAUAAAGGCUGUCUCUUACAGACUCAUAUAAAUUAUCCUUUUUAUGAAGAGAUAAGAAUAAAAUUAAAGGACAAGAAGACCCUAUAGAGCUUUACUAUAUAUUUAAUUAAUAAACUAAAGUUUGGUUGGGGCGACCUAAGAUAAUAAAUAACAUCUUUAACUACAUAAGAAAUACAAUUCUUCCUAAUGAUCCAUAAUUGAUCAAUGAACUAAGUUACCUUAGGGAUAACAGGCUAAUUAUUUUUAAGAGUUCUUAUCUAAAAAAUAGAUUGGCACCUCGAUGUUGGCUUAGGAAUACUAUUUCUCGCAAAAGAGCAUAUAGUUGGUUUGUUCAACCAAUAAUAUCCU